AUUGAACGCUGGCGGCAGGCCUAACACAUGCAAGUCGAGCGGAUGAAGGGAGCUUGCUCCUGGAUUCAGCGGCGGACGGGUGAGUAAUGCCUAGGAAUCUGCCUGGUAGUGGGGGAUAACGUCCCGAAACGGGCGCUAAUACCGCAUACGUCCUGAGGGAGAAAGUGGGGGAUCUUCGGACCUCACGCUAUCAGAUGAGCCUAGGUCGGAUUAGCUAGUUGGUGGGGUAAAGGCCUACCAAGGCGACGAUCCGUAACUGGUCUGAGAGGAUGAUCAGUCACACUGGAACUGAGACACGGUCCAGACUCCUACGGGAGGCAGCAGUGGGGAAUAUUGGACAAUGGGCGAAAGCCUGAUCCAGCCAUGCCGCGUGUGUGAAGAAGGUCUUCGGAUUGUAAAGCACUUUAAGUUGGGAGGAAGGGCAGUAAGUUAAUACCUUGCUGUUUUGACGUUACCAACAGAAUAAGCACCGGCUAACUUCGUG
rnacentral:rRNA from 1 species